GACGAACGCUGGCGGCGUGCCUAAUACAUGCAAGUUGAGCGAUGAAGCUUGGUGCUUGCUCCAAUUUGAAGAGCAGCGAACGGGUGAGUAACGCGUGGGUAAUCUGCCUUUGAGCGGGGGACAACAUUUGGAAACGAAUGCUAAUACCGCAUAACAACUUUAAACAUAAGUUUUAAGUUUGAAAGAUGCAAUUGCAUCACUCAAAGAUGAUCCCGCGUUGUAUUAGCUAGUUGGUGAGGUAAAGGCUCACCAAGGCGAUGAAGCAGAGCCGACCUGAGAGGGUGGGCAGCCGACAUGGGACUGGGACACGGCCCAAACGCCUUCAGGAAGCAGCAAGAGGGAAACGUCGGGCAGGGGCGAAAGUCUGACCGAGCAACGCCGCGGGAGGGAAGAAGGUUGUCGGGUCGGAAAACUCGGUUGGUAGGGAAGAAAGUGGGUGAGAGUGGAAAGCUCAGCAAGUGACGGUAACUACCCAGAAAGGGACGGCUAACUACGUG
rnacentral:rRNA from 1 species